rnacentral:lncRNA from 1 species
CUUCUCAAAAUCAGAUACAUAAUAUCAAACAGAUGGCUUGAGCCAGUGAAUAAAUAAGUCAUAAAAGAGUUUUGUAUACUUCAUUGUUCUAGUUUAUGGCAAAACAGCAAUCAAGUUCUGUUGAAACCUGGAUAAAAUUUCUAGUUUCACUUUGUUUGAGUUCCAGAUGAUCUGGAAGAAAUAAAACUCCAGGAGCAAGUGUUCUUGGAAUCCCUUCUUCAUGUAAUUUACCCAAGAAAUCAGUUCAGCCUUUCUGAGGUUUUCCAAGCUAUAGCUUUAAAGAAAAAGACCUAAACUAAUAGUAGCUUUAUCAGUGUUCAUCCUGAGCAAAAAUGCUAACUGGCUAAUUACACAGAUACUGUAAGUGUUCAAUGGAGAUAAUUCAAAUGAUAGAGUUGGGGUGAGGGUAUAAAAACUAUGGAGAUGUUAUGUGGACACUGCAAAUCCAGAGCUCAAAUCAAUAAAAAUAUGCAUCAAGCAGCUACCAGUAAAAGCUCAGUCCUCUCAGAUGGCAACAGAUUACAUUCAAGUAACCUUUGACAAGGGAUUAUAUUUCCUCAUCUCCACCCUGAGAACUAGAUUUUACAUUAAAUUUUUCAACUGUGGUCUUUUCUUAUAUCUAGCUAACUGAACAUGUUCUUUAUCGAGAUUUUAUGAGAAUGACAGUGAUUGAGACACAGGCGCAUACUAUACAUUAAGCCAUGUAAAACAAACCAGUUGGAUAAUAUAAUGAAUUACAAGAUAUUAGGGAAAUAUGAUAAUGAUGAUAACCAGGGCAGUUAAUGUUCCCUCUAAAGGGUCAUACAUUGCUUACCUAGAACCACUGCUGUCAUUCAUGUCUUGCCAGAACUUCUGAUUUUUCAAGAUAAACCAGAAACCUUGCUUCCACAAUUCAAUUAGGUUAAGAUCAGAUUAAAUCUGAUUGACUAUCUUUUAAGUUAAGCUGCCUAAUACGCAAACUGUUUAUCUGAAACCUAUGAAACCUAUGAUUAGUGAGCUCUAAGAAAACAAUGCAUCAAGGAAUACCCAAACCAGAGGAAACCAGAAUACUCACCUGGUUUGACAUGUCUCUUAACAUAGGAACCCAAUUACAAUGCCGUUUCCCUAACAAACUGAUUGUUCAACCACUGCUUAUAUACCACCAAGGAAAUUUACUGUUGCAUGUUUGAAAUACUUAGGUUUAUACUCAAGCUAUUUCCUUUGAAGCAACAUGGACCACUAUCACGGCCUCUAGUCUACUCAAACCUAGUGAGCUGAAACCAGGAAAUUGAUGGAGUCAGUAAGUGUGUAUUCCCUGGAAAGAUUUUUGGUGCUACCUUGCUACCUGAAAAAUGGUCACUAAAAGAAGUUUCCAUCAAAAACUAAACUUAAAUAUACUAUAUUCUGUAUAUAAAUAUCAAAAUAGUCAUUUGAAUAUGAUACAAAUGAACUUAUUUAUAAAAUAAACAGACUUAAAGACAUAGAAAACACACUUAUGAUUACCAAAGCAGAAGGUGGGUGGAGAGAUAAAUUAGGAAUUUGGGAUUAGUAGAUACAAAUAUAUAAAUAUAUUGAUAUAAAUAUACAGAUAUAAAAUAGAUAAAUAAGAUAUUACAUAGCACAAGAAACUAUAUUCAAUAUCUUGUAAAAACCUAUCAUGAAAAAGAAUAUGAAAAAUAAUAUGCAUAUAUGUAUAACUGAAUUACUUUGCUAUACACUGGAAGGAAACAUAACAUUGUAAAUCAACUAUACUCCAAUAAAAAGAUAGUUAUUUAAUGCAAUGCAGUACCUUGGGUUGUAUUCUGGAAAAACAGAAAAAAGAAAAAUCAGUGGAAAGACUACUAAAUUUCAAACAAAUUUUGUAUUUUAUAGUUUGUUUUUUUUUGUUUUUUUUGUUUUUUUUAUUUUCCCACUGUACAGCAAGGGGGUCAGGUUAUCCUUACAUGUAUACAUUGCAAUUACAGUUUUUCCCCCACCCUUUCUUCUGUUGCAACAUGAGUAUCUAGACAUUGUUCUCAAUGCUGUAUUUUAUAGUUUGUAUCAUUGAUAAUUUUGUAUUUGGGAUAAAUGUAUCAUGGUUAUGUAAUGUAUUAACAUUAAAGGAAGAUGGAUGAGGAGUAUACAGGAUCUUUGUAAUAUCUUUGCAACUUUCUCAAAAUCUAAAAUAAUUCCACAAUAAUAUAUGCAUGUUUUAUAUAAUUUUAAGUUGCAAAUGCCACAUGAAUAUGGCACUCAUUAGGGGAAAAUAAGUGAAAACAAAAUUAGGUUGGCAUGGAAACAAUAGAAAGCUUUUUUCAUUUCUAUUUUUUCAAUAUGUUCUUUUGUACCAUUUUUAUUAGAUUCCACAUAUAAAUGAUAUCAUAUGAUAUUUUUCUUUUUCUAUGAUAUUUUCUUAUUUCACUCAGUAUGGUAAUUUCUAGAUCCAUCCAUGUUGCUACAAUGUCAUUAUUUUCUUCUUUUUUAUGGCUGAGUAGUAUUUCAUUGUAUGUAUGUACAACGUCUUCUUUAUCAUGGACAUUUAGUUUGCUUCUAUGUCUUGGCUAU